UACGUAGGGGGCAAGCGUUAUCCAGAUUUACUGGGCGUAAAGCGCGUGUAGGCGGCUGGUUAGGCGUGAUGUGAAAUCUUCCGGCUCAACCGGAAAACUGCAUUGCGAACCGGCCUGGCUAGAGUGCAGGAGAGGGAAGCGGAAUUCCAGGUGUAGCGGUGAAAUGCGUAGAUAUCUGGAGGAACCCCAGUGGCGAAGGCGGCUUCCUGGCCUGCAACUGACGCUGAGACGCGAAAGCGUGGGGAGCGAACCGG
rnacentral:rRNA from 1 species